rnacentral:lncRNA from 1 species
GAAAAACCAGAAUGUGUCUACAUGGAAUAUACACUGGCUCACUGAAGAGUCCCAGCUGGCUUUGUAUCACCACCCUGGGCUUCUGUGGCCUUGCAGGCAGAGACAGAUAAGCGAUAGCAGCAGUCGGACAAAUGGAUGUCAGACCAAGAGGCAAUGACAACGGCUAAGAGAGAUGGGCAAGUAUGGGUGGGAUAAAGAAGAAGAAAAAAGAAAACCAAUGGACUAAUUCCAGGAGCGGAUAUUAAAUGGCAAACAUCCAUCUUCUCGGUGACAGAGCACAGCUUUACUCUGUGUAUAUAAAAUAGGAGGAAGGAAAGGAGUCUAAUCUCACUCAAUGCACUGCAUUUUAGGUUGAUACACACUCACAAACACACACACACACACACACACACAUACACA